AUACGUAGGGGGCUAGCGUUAUCCGGAAUUACUGGGCGUAAAGGGUGCGUAGGUGGUUUCUUAAGUCAGAAGUGAAAGGCUACGGCUCAACCGUAGUAAGCUUUUGAAACUAAGAGACUUGAGUGCAGGAGAGGAGAGUAGAAUUCCUAGUGUAGCGGUGAAAUGCGUAGAUAUUAGGAGGAAUACCAGUUGCGAAGGCGGCUCUCUGGAAUGGAACUGACACUGAGGCACGAAAGCGUGGGGAGCAAACAGGAUGAGAUACCCUGGUAGUCCACGCCGUAAACGAUGAGUACUAGCUGUCGGGGGUUACCCCCCUCGGUGGCGCAGCUAACGCAUUAAGUACUCCGCCUGGGAAGUACGCUCGCAAGAGUGAAACUCAAAUGAAUUGACGGGG
rnacentral:rRNA from 1 species